GCGAACGCUGGCGGCAGGCCUAACACAUGCAAGUCGAACGAACCUUUCGGGGUUAGUGGCGGACGGGUGAGUAACACGUGGGAACGUGCCUUUAAGUUCGGAAUAACUCAGGGAAACUUGUGCUAAUACCGAAUGUGCCCUUCGGGGGAAAGAUUUAUCGCCUUUAGAGCGGCCCGCGUCUGAUUAGCUAGUUGGUUGAGGUAAUGGCUCACCAAGGCGACGAUCAGUAGCUGGUCUGAGAGGAUGAUCAGCCACAUUGGGACUGAGACACGGCCCAAACUCCUACGGGAGGCAGCAGUGGGGAAUCUUGCGCAAUGGGCGAAAGCCUGACGCAGCCAUGCCGCGUGAAUGAUGAAGGUCUUAGGAUUGUAAAAUUCUUUCACCGGGGACGAUAAUGACGGUACCCGGAGAAGAAGCCCCGGCUAACUUCGUG
rnacentral:rRNA from 1 species